rnacentral:lncRNA from 10 species
AAAGAUACAAGAAAGCUGAGCACACAGGAUAUCUUUAUUUCAGUUAAAUACUUGUCUUCUUGCUGCUGCUAUGAAUAAGACGAAGAUGUGGACCAGGCGACAAUAUGGUGGGGUGACUAUGUAACUGAUUGAUUAGCCAUAAGCUGUGGUUUAUGUCCUUUGCUCAGGGGUUCUGCCCUAACUGAUUUCUGUCCCAAAUCAGUAUUUUAAACCAUGAAUUGGAUGAUGACAUUUUUAUCAAGUUUCCAUGUCAGAACCCCAAAAAGGCUAAUAUUUGGAAAAGGCAGCCUUCUAAAUGAUCUCGACGUGUAUGAAAUAAUGGAUUGACUCUAACAACCUAAGCUUACUAGUAACAAAUAUGAAUUCCUUUGCAUGGGGUAUGUCGCCCUGUCAUCACCAGGCCAGCUUUACCUGUGGCUACAAGUUCCUUAGACUCUGGACAAAGGGCCUCUGUCAUCUCCACAUUUGACUUUCUCAGAUUCCUAAUCUGAGUCAUGAACUUGGAAGGUACUUUCAAACCUCACUGUUGAUUUUGACAACCUGAAAGCCCACAACUGGGGGUGAAGGGGAAAACACCCACUGGACUGAGAAGAAACGUGC